rnacentral:rRNA from 1 species
UACGUAGGGUGCAAGCGUUAAUCGGAAUUACUGGGCGUAAAGCGUGCGCAGGCGGCUUUGCAAGACAGAUGUGAAAUCCCCGGGCUUAACCUGGGAACUGCAUUUGUGACUGCAUGGCUGGAGUGCGGCAGAGGGGGAUGGAAUUCCGCGUGUAGCAGUGAAAUGCGUAGAUAUGCGGAGGAACACCGAUGGCGAAGGCAAUCCCCUGGGCCUGCACUGACG